rnacentral:rRNA from 1 species
UAAGGAAUAUUGGUCAAUGGACGCAAGUCUGAACCAGCCAUGCCGCGUGAAGGAUGAAGGUCCUCUGGAUUGUAAACUUCUUUUAUCUGGGACGAAAACGGGAUUUUUAUCUCAAUUGACGGUACCAGAGGAAUAAGCACCGGCUAACUCCGUGCCAGCAGCCGCGGUAAUACGGAGGGUGCGAGCGUUAUCCGGAUUUACUGGGUUUAAAGGGUGCGUAGGUGGGCUUAUAAGUCAGUGGUGAGGUCUCCGAGCUUAACUUGGAAACUGCCGUUGAUACUAUAGGUCUUGAAUUAUCUGGAGGUAAGCGGAAUAUGUCAUGUAGCGGUGAAAUGCUUAGAUAUGACAUAGAACACCAAUUGCGAAGGCAGCUUACUACAUAUAAAUUGACGCUGAGGCACGAAAGCGUGGGGAUCAAACA